UAAAAGUUCGACGAGUUUCGACCAGAGGGAACUUCAGUUUGUCCCUUUAAACGUACUUCAGAAACUUCAGAACCUCAAAAAAAAACUUAACCUCGUAAUUGCUAGUUUCUAUACCAGAAAACCAGACGAAGGAGAAAUUUUCAAGAAAGUCGAUAAAAUAGCGCUAAACGAUGAAUCACGCGAACAGUGUUGCACGAGCUCGUCGAAGUGUAUAACAGAGUUAUUCAGCCAAUGAGAAAUAAGUGGCUCGGAAAAUUGAACGGCCCCUAGUAAUUAGAAUGUUCAUCAAGAUGUAAAUAAGACGAUCGUCUCCCCGUCGUGUAAUGAGUUUGCUAAAAACCGUCGCAUUUUAGUCGCUACAGCGAUGAUUAUGCGUCAUUUUCAGGAAAUAUCAGUAAAAUCAAUGAAAACGAUAAACUAAUACAGGAAACAUGGAUGGAAGUUACGUGAAAAAUGUUUUGUUGGCCCACAAAAUACCGCAAGAGAUAUAAAUUACUCUAAUCUGACCACCAUUAUCUCCACUCUUCGUCCUGUUAUUUUCUAUUUACUUCGGAUGUUCUUUUCACGGUUACGAUUGUGGCUUUUAUAUCGUUAUCAAAUUGAGGCAAUUGUCUUUAUUCUACUAAUACACAAGUUAUCAGUUAAUUGUUUUUUUUUUUCAGAUUGAAUAGUUAAGUAAAUAAGGUUAUAGUUAUUUUUACCGACACCUGUUCUAGCAUUGCGAUAUGCAUUGUGAAACAUGUUUCGUUGUACUUGCAAACGGAAGUUUAUUGUAUCAUUAAGCUUUUAUUUCACACCCUUGAAAGGCACGAACUAGGCACACCGUUAUUCGUGUCAUGGAUCACUCUUUAGACUGUCAAGGAGAUUCGCUGUUGUCGGUGAACGGAUGGAAAAUAAGAAGAGAGACAGGAAACUAUGGAAUGAAGUCAUUAAUUCCUUAUGAUGAAUGAUAAAAAUCUGAUUCAAAUCAUGAAGGACAGUUUACCAAAGGAUGUUCACCAUGUUCCCUACAUUCUGAACCUCUUUUAUUCAACGUCCUGUACGCGAAAGAACGAGUAGAAGAGGGCCACGAUUUCCAAGAUAGAGUUGCGAGCAACGGAGGUGGAGAAAGUUCCUGUCCUCCCUGGCGUCUCCACGCCUGGUGGUCGUUUCUACCAUAGGAAAUACUUCCUCGAGACCCGCCAAGUACCCACGCGCCUUAUCCGAAGAAAGAAAGUUGUUGCGCUGCACGAAACCUGGAGAUUUUCUCCUUGGAAACACGCUCCUAUCUCUUUGGCCGACAUGCCCUGGUUAAAGCAGCAUCCUCUCCUUUUUUCUCCUACAUCAAACCUGACCAUCCGGAUGAUCUGUGCGAGGAGCGAGGCUGUUCGUUGGUCACAGACGAUCUCUAUUUUAGCGAACGAGAUUUUCAUCAGAACCUUGAGCAUCCAGUCGAAUCGCUCGAAGGUGUUCCUCUUUGGACAGCUGAACGAAUGGAACGACUCAGCAGUUCGUAAUCGUUAUUAUAUUUAAUGUGAAGCGCUUCAUCAGGGAUUCGUAGAACCGUAGCUUGCACAGCAAUGUAUCGUCUCGGGUAGAUUAAAGAUACAGUAUCGUUCGAAAGUUCACUAAUUCAGUUUAUCUUCACAAUCGAGGCUUCGCAUUGUAAUUAUCUUGAGUAAGACUUCUGAACGGUACUGUAAAUUGUUUCUGCCGUUUACUUUGUUCGAAUUGUAUCCUUUAAUUACAUCAAGAUGUCGUAUUAUCGCGAAAGUACGGUCAUUGCGAGACACGAGCUUAUGUGAAGUCUAUAGAGCUUGUGUUUGGAAUCAUAAAUACAAGUUAGCCGAUAUAAUAGGCCUUAAUCGAGACUCGAAGAGAAUUGAUCGAGCUGUACCUUUACACACUGGUACCGUUGCCUCCUCGAAGCUAAAGGAAGCAUCGAAAACGAAAAUCUCUGUUACCAUAACGGUACAGAUUCAGCAAUCUCCGAGUGUCCUCGGGAGACGAAAAAAGGCCAGGAAUGUCUAAAAGAGUUAUUUCUCAUUGGUCGUUGUAUAACUCGGCCUUUAAACUGUUUCUAACGUUGUUCGCGUGUUAAAUCUGGUCGAUCGUUCACCUCGAAUAAUCCGUUUUGUCGAGGUAGAAUCGUCAGGUUCAACAACCCGGCUUUGUGGCUGUUAAUAAAGAGAGGCAACGCCUCCGAAAAACGUCCCUGACCCGGCGACAUCAGAGGCUCCAAACUCAAGUUUUAUUUAACCACAAGGACUUUGGAUUUUCGUACGAAGUUGAGCAUGAUUUGGACACCGUGUAAUUUAACAAUCGGUGCACGAGUUGCUUCCUCCGACCACCAAGGAUUAAUUCACAUUUCAACGGGAUUCGCUUCCGUCUAUUGCCACCGUAGUGUUCGCUUGAUUGUACCUGUCACAAUGGAGCAGGUAAAGGGGUAGCGAUUCAGGUAUCAGUUUGAAGAAUUUUUUCUUGAAUUUUCCUUUCUAAACGUCUACGCUAAAGUAAUCCAUCAGCGUAUGAAGUUUCAUUAGAAUACUUCAAGGAAUUACUUCAAGAUCGAAUGCGAAAGGUCUUUGUCUAUGAAACGUUCUAUCAAUUCGAAACGAAUCUCGUCGACAGCCUAACGAUUUCUCUUCUGCCAUCGGCCCCGGAAGUCCUUCGUUCCGUAUAAUUGAGCGGAAUCUUAAUAGGACCAUCCACGACGGACCUUGAAAUUUCGAUCGCACAGAACGAGUUACCGAAAGAUGCGAAGCGCGUGGAAGAGACGCGAAAUCGAAUUGGGCGAAGGGAGAGUUUACGAAGAGGAUUUUACGCAACGAGAUUUAAUAAUCGCUAGGAUUGCGCAACAAUUGCGUAGAGCACACGCGAGUUAGCGUGGUGGUUUUACAGUAAAAUCGUUCGAUAAUAGGAACGACAAACACGCAGCUUCUUCUUGAAAGAGCCGGUCAAGACGUUGCGGAGGCUCGCGAGGAAAUUUCGUAAGAAUCGGACACGGCUAGGCUAUCGGCGUUUUCCAUGCAGAUAACCAACAGGGCUCUCUUUUCUCGUGCUCUCUCAAGGAUCAUUCGAUGCGCGUGCUGUCGCGAUAAGAAAAAAAAGCAGGGAAUAAUUACCGCGUUAUACAACAACUUUUCCUCGUUAUUAUUUCUCUAACUGAUGGAGACUUCUAUGGUGAGAGAUGUUUCUUCCGCGCUCGACAAGAAUCUGUACAGAAGACAAAGAAAUUUCGUUUUCGAUUCGGAAAACAAAAUUUGUCUCGCACCUUUUUUCUGUCUAGCGAUGAAGGAACUGGUUUCUAGUUUUGUAUUCAACAAAAUAAAGUCAUCUCUUGAAUGUCACGAAACAGAAGAGCGGGAAUGAAAAAAUAUGCAAAAUAAUUUUAUCUGAGAAAGAAUACACAGGAAAGAGUUGUUUAUUAAAGGGAACGGGUUGUGAAACAGCAUCGAAAGCGUGAAACAUUUCAAUUUAGAUUUAAGACUUAAUAAUUGAAGCUGAUAAUUAACGAGGUCAACGAGGAAGAAAUCACGGCGGCCUUUGUAUGCUUGGCUUACAAAAAGGUAUUAAUAGCGUCUGAACCGUCCACGACGUUGGAAACUCAUGGUCGUCGGGAUAGCGUCGUAGAAUUUCUUCUAAAAUGUAUUUUCCAUCGGUGCCCGAUCGAUGUGGAAACGGGCCUAAAAGAACGUUCGUCACGUUUUACGAUGUUUGCCACGAUAUUAGGCCUCGUUAUAACUUCGCAGCGUGCUUAUCUUGCGAUAAUAUUCUCUGUUGUCGCUAAGAAAAAAAAAAGACGAAUCUACAUGUUUCGCGCUCGUAAACGAAUACAAAAGAUUGUAAAAGCGGAAAUUAUUCAUGAUACCACAUCGAUUUUAUUGUUCCCCUUAUCGAGCGAGGAUCUUUCGUGUUGUGAUAAUUGAUAGCGCAAUAUCGCGGCACCGCCAGCCUCUUGUUCGAACGUGUUAAUAAUUAAGAGUUAAUUCAUGCACCGCUCAAAAUAAUUAGGAGUCAUUAUCGUUCGGUGUACUGUUUCAAUAUUUGAGAAACCUCGGUAUACCAUAUAAGUUAUCGAACAUGACUUAUCUUUCCAAUGUUUGCCUGCAUGAAUUAUCUGAAGAUGGAAUUCCUAAUUAAUUUAGCGGUGCACCUGUCGAAAUGCGUAUCGACGGAAAAAAUGAUUGCGUCCCGAAUUAUAAGAAUUAUAUACGAUAACUGAAAUUUGUCGAGAUACUGGUUGCAAGGAAAAUGAAUUUAUUAACCAAUUGGUAGAAUCGCUUAAUGGAUUUCGUGAUUGCUCGAAGCCGUAAUGACGCGGGUUCUUGUCGGAAACGCGUUUACGUAUUACAGAACGUGCCUCGAUAACGGCUCGUUGCUGUACUUGUGGAAGAUUAUGCAUCCGCGUUUAACGAAGAUCAACACUUUCCCUUUGUACGCAAAUCCGGUUGCGAUCCUUUAUUUUCCUCGACACCGGUCGACUAGGAAACGAAGUUUCGUUCGAGGAAAAUCUGUUAAAUAAACUGAAACAAGAUUCGUAUAAAUUCUCUCGUUUAAUUUCUUCUCGUACCUUAUUUACAUAGGAAAUCGAUAAUUAGUUUAAAAUUAUUUUUCCUCGAUCGAGAAGAACCGAGUCAAUGUUUGCUUUAAUUUCAAAUAUUGCUUCCUUCUAAGAUAACGUUACAAUGUCACCUCGACAUUGAAAAACGAAAAUUUCCCGCACGAACAGCUGAUUUCCAGAUAACGAAAACAGGUGUUCGAUGGAAAAGCGACCCAAUUCUCGUCUACUUGUUAAUACUUGCUCUGCUUAAUUGUAGAUUCCCAAAGAAACGAAGACGCAGUCGAUUAACAAAUAUUUACAUUUCGAUCGUUCGGUAUCGCGCAACGUUUCAAAAGUAACUGAUCGCAAUUUGCAUCGGUUCGGAAAUUUCAAAAUUUCUUGCGCCUCUUAACGAUCUAUCGCUAAUCGAACAGACGAUCGCGGUGCGAUUCGCGCGAAACAGACAAGAGGCGUUAAUUUUCGGGGCAAGAGAAAGAAAGAGAAAGUACGAAAUGGCGGAAGCAAUUUCCCCGGAACGAAAUGAUGUAACGAAUGACCUUUGCGUUCGGUGGGAUCGCGAUGAUGCCGAGGUGUCGUGAAACCUAUCUCCUAACCGUAUGAACCAAACAGAAUACGAGACUCCCGGAAUGAAACUUUCUUUCGAAAGGCUUUCGCGAAAGCUUCCGGAAACAACGAUCGCGCCGUUGUUUCUGACAAUCUGUUUUUCAACCAGCCACGAUACCGCACGAUUCUCAAUAUUUCAGAAGGAAAUACUCUUUUAACCCUUUGCAGUCUGAAUUUGUUCACAAAUAUUUACUCCUCCCGAUCGUUGAAUUUACAUAAUGGAUAUUUCUCGGGACGGAAUAAAAACCCGUUUCGCUCGUUUGAUUAUUUCGCGAUGCCUUUGUCUUUUAUUUGUUAAUAAUUGCCGAGUGGCUGCGAAGUAACACGGAAAUCGUGCCAUGGAAUCUGUGAUUAUGUUCCUCCCACCCGCGAUUAACGAACCUUGUAAUUAAGAUUAAACCUUACGUUUAAUCUAUCGCGAUACGCUAAUGUAAGUGUUAAGAGGCAGUACGAGAAACCUAACUUACGAGCACACGAUUACUAUAAUCUUAAGAGAGGCAGUAUAAAAUAUUGCUUUUUUUCAUAUUCCAUAAUCUUUCUCUUUUUUUAUUAUUCAAUUUCAAAAGUUUAGUCAUUAUUUCGCAAGAGCCUAUGGUUUAUACAAUUCUUUCGAACACUUGCCCAGGCAGCAAAUGUAUUAUUAAUGUAGUAGAAUGUUUUAAUUAAGGAGGGCAAUAUAAUCGACACGAUCGUUACUGUAUUUUGCACACCUUUGCGUCCUUGAUGCACGUCUGCCUACAUUGUUAUAUUUAACGAGCGAAGGUAAAUAGACUCGAUCCAAGCUCGUUAACGAAUCAAUUCAAGAGUACAACUGCUUUCUUAAUUCAUUCACGAAGGCGACAGAAAAACAUUCUGGAAAUCUAGGAAGAUACUAUGUCGUAUCCCUGACUUUGACAUUUCAUUUUUCUUUCUAAGAAUAAAAGGACCUAGUUCGUUUCAGCGAAAGUCGCAAAACCAAAAAUCGAUAUGUCAUUUUGGCCGGAAAUGCACGGUUCUCGAGAUAUCGAUUUUUUUUUUAAUUUUCUGAAUAAAAUAAAUUGUUUUUAAUGAUUACGAUGGUGGUAUUUAUUUACACGACCUCUGACCACAUCAUAAUUAUCCUGCUGUAAUUACUUGCACCAGUUACACUGGUCAAUUAACCAGCCCGAUGAUGCUAGUCUACUUUCCUAGACUAAGUUACUUGCACCAGUUACACUGGUCAAUUAGUUGGCCUGGUUAGUCUACUUUCUCAGAUUCAGUACUAAUUUAGUACUCGUACAAGUACUUUCCCUUUAGACAGUCCAGCGUCUGGACUCCAUAGAAGAAUGAAAUAUACAAUCAGGGACAGUUUGGCAGAGUGUCAAACUUCCGUUCCAAGAUUGGAACUUGAUCCUCGAUGAUCGUGGAAGAUGUCAAGACAAAAGUGUAUAAAAGAACGAGUACGUGACGAAGUACAAAUGUCGAUGGAGUCAUCGACGAAGUUAAUCGAUGAGUACGUUGCCAUCGAUCAGAAACCAAUUACGAUUCUGCCGAACGACGAAACGAUUCGAGGAACGAUCGGUGCGAUUCCUACGGUCGUCUUCUAUUCAUCGAUCAUGCGAGGUUAAAACUUACGUAACCCACCAGUGCUUUCGAGCGACGGAAAUAACAGAAACGUUUGGAAAGUUUACGUUUCGCCUGGCUUCGAAAUUUCUUUUUCAUUAGACGAGCUCGGAUCGCCGCGUUUCUUGCCGAUUCUAUACCUAUUUAUUCGUAAAAAUAUUCUACAGAUUUUCUACGUUUUCGUUGAAACUGUAAAUCUCUCAUCGUUACCAUUAUUUAUUGCUUUGUUUUCCUUACUGUACUUUAGUAUUUGGGACAACGCCCACGAUAGCUUACGAGUAAAGAAAUCUCGGUUACCGUAAGGACUAACUUACGCUGCCAAAUUUUACCUAAGACUAAUCUAAACGAAAUUCAACUGGCGCGAUUAUCUCGUAACAACCGGUAAACCUAAUCUAACGAGUAUAAUCUAAGAUUGAAUUUAGUGGUAAUUAGCAAGGCGUAUCUUUAGAUUCUACUAAUUACCAAAGAUGAAAUUCGUCCUAAUUAUACUUUUCAUAGUUGCGCGAGCAAUUUCGCCGGCUUUCGAAUCAAUUAGCCCGUAACAUUCGGAAUUGAUUAAUAACGAUCCGUAUACUUGAAUCGGUAACUGUUGGAACAAUUACAGAGCGCAAAGGGUUAAUCUUCGCGUUAACACAAUACGCUUUUAUGUUCGAUCGAAAACAAAGGUGAAAAAGAAAUAUGGAGGAGGAGACGAGACAAGAACAAGAGAGUUCAUUAUAUGCUUCAGACUCUGUCGCAGCGUUUCCAUUGUUUCAUCUCAGGGACACGUCCUGGACUCACAGGGAUUCGCUCGCAACGAUGGCCUCUUUUAUUUCUUUCUCUCUCUCUCUCUCUCUCUCGAUCUUUAUUUCGAUCCAUUACAACGACGUUCUCUCUUUCUCCGUAAGUCAAAGAUUAUAAUAAAGAAUAAAUAAUAAGGGGAUGAUUUCUCUUUCAUGACUUCGAGAAAUUCAUGAAUUUCAUCCGGGAACGCGCACGGAUUUAAACGAGAUCGUUUCAAGGCUGGAUGAUUCAUCAAGAAACCAUCAUUCCGACGCAAUCUUUCUUAAAAAGGAACGAGAUCCUCUACCGGCGAUAACGUAGGAAAAAUUUCUCAAUAACCAAGGGAGGAUCUCGUCGACUGUAUUGAAAUGCAUAACAAGAUCGUUCCGCAAGAUGUACGACGAUAUUUUGAAAGUGACUUCGCUUGAAAACGUUCGAACUGAUAAAAUAAUAAUAUUAAAAAAAAAAAAAAAAAGAAAAGAAACACGUUGGUAUUUCUUCUCAACAACGAUUCAUGGAUCGAAUUUAUACACGGUACCCAAACAGUUCUGGUAUCUUAAAAACGUAGAUCGUAUAUUUUUUGGUAGCAAAAGUUUUCUGUAUAAAUUACAUUGCUCUUCUUGGUUUUUUUUUUUUUUUUUUUUAAAUGGAUUAAAUCGUUCACCUAAUUUCAUCUUCAUUUACAUACACAACACUUCCCCUGCUUUUCUUUUUUCUUUUUCUUAAUACUUCGUUCAAUGCGAAUGAUUCGAAAGUAUAAACAAUUUUGGUUGAUGAAGAAAUUAAUGAACGCGGUGAAUUCCGAACGGGUGCCCUGCGCGAGUUCAGGCCCUUCGAGAUCUCACAGCUCGAAAAUUUCAAAGGAACGUUCAUUCGAGAAUGCCACCAGGUACUUAUCUUUUUAUCUCGCGAUGAAAUAAAUAGUGUGCUUAUUUACAAAGCGAUGAUUUAACACAGUAGAACGUCGGUUAUUCGAACGAGUAUACGCAGGUUUAUGAAAAGAGUAAGCAUUCGUAUAAUUAUCGUAAUAAAUUCUAUUAACACAUUGACCGGCGAAAAAGAAAAGAAAAAUGUGAAAGUUGUGAAUUUUUAUUAAAAUAAUCUGAAACGAUAAAUUAUAAAGAUUAUUCCUUGAUAUUUCCUUAAUGAAAUGCCAGUCAAUGUAUUAAUUAUUCAAAAAAAAUAUAUAUAUACAUGUACUUUGAAAGAUUGCUUCCUCACAAUUUCCGAGAUACUUACAAUUUUCAGUCGCACUUUUACCUAUUACAAAGUCAAAACACUCGCUUACACGAUACGCUUAGAAACGAAUUUUACAAGCCGAAGUUUAUAUAUAUUACAGCGUAGAAAAAAAAAAUUCGUGUCGAGGUCGGAAAGGUUAAUGAAUCAAUUAGUUAUAACCAUUAGUUAUUCCAUGGUCAUCCGGUAACUAAUCGGUUCGUACCGAUCGAGAUACCGCUGGUAUUGCUUUCGUAUCGAGUGAAUUCUCGUGCGAAUAACGCGCGUGUGUGAAUUACAAAAGACUUUUUGCACCUGUCGAAAAAGUCUGAACACAGGAUCGUAAUGAAAAAAGAAAACGUCGCAUGAAAAAUAUAUGUACAAACCGGACACGCGUUCGCUGCCGUCGUGGAACACGCGAUACCGCGUGAACGGAUUCUUAAAGCUAGGGAUGGUGCACGCGGCAUCGCGUGAAUAAGAUAAAAAAAAAGCAUAAUCACGGCGGGUAAAA